rnacentral:tRNA from 1 species
GUUAGGGUGGCAGAGUCCGGUAAUUGCAUAAAACUUAAGCUUUUACACCCAAAGGUUCAAAUCCUUUCCCUGACA